GUAAAGAAGAAAUAAAAGUAGCCUAACCCAAUUCAAGUAGUGGCAACGAGGGAAUGGCACUCGAAAGUAAGAACCAGAUCAAGGGCCCAUGCCAAUACAACACAACAAAGGAAACGUUUUCAAUGAAGAAUAUGGUGGUGGCUAUAGGAGUAAUUGUAAACCUUAAUGGAUAUGAACGUCAUCCCUCUUGCCACCGGUUACGUGGCUCAGGACAUGUGCUUCUCACAACCUGGUAGAAAUAGUGAAAUCAGAAAGGCCCCUCCACUCCACCAAAUUCUAGUUUGAAGGGUCCGAAGUCGAAACAACCAUCCCAGCUCAACUCAUCUUAGGCUCGAUUAUCUUAUCUUGGCUAUAGUUUUU
rnacentral:misc_RNA from 1 species